rnacentral:rRNA from 1 species
AGUGAACGCUGGCGGUAGGCCUAACACAUGCAAGUCGAACGGCAGCACAGUAAGAGCUUGCUCUUACGGGUGGCGAGUGGCGGACGGGUGAGGAAUACAUCGGAAUCUACUUUUUCGUGGGGGAUAACGUAGGGAAACUUACGCUAAUACCGCAUACGACCUACGGUUGAAAGCAGUGGAUCUUCGGACCUUGCGCGAUUGAAUGAGCCGAUGUCGUAUUAGCUAGUUGGCGGGGUAAAGGCCCACCAAGGCGACGAUCCGUAGCUGGUCUGAGAGGAUGAUCAGCCACACUGGAACUGAGACACGGUCCAGACUCCUACGGGAGGCAGCAGUGGGGAAUGUUGGACAAUGGGCGCAAGCAUGAUACAGCCAUACCGAGUGGGAGGAGACGGCCUUCGGGUUGUAAAGCCCUUUUGUUGGGAAAGAAAAGCAGCAGGUUAAUACCCCGCUGUUCUGACGGUACCCAAAGAAUAAGCACCGGCUAACUUCGUG